rnacentral:rRNA from 1 species
GCUACACAUGCAGUCGAGCGGAACGACACUAACAAUCCUUCGGGUGCGUUAAUGGGCGUCGAGCGGCGGACGGGUGAGUAAUGCCUAGGAAAUUGCCUUGAUGUGGGGGAUAACCAUUGGAAACGAUGGCUAAUACCGCAUAAUGCCUACGGGCCAAAGAGGGGGAUCUUCGGACCUCUCGCGUCAAGAUAUGCCUAGGUGGGAUUAGCUAGUUGGUGAGGUAAUGGCUCACCAAGGCGACGAUCCCUAGCUGGUCUGAGAGGAUGAUCAGCCACACUGGAACUGAGACACGGUCCAGACUCCUACGGGAGGCAGCAGUGGGGAAUAUUGCACAAUGGGCGAAAGCCUGAUGCAGCCAUGCCGCGUGUAUGAAGAAGGCCUUCGGGUUGUAAAGUACUUUCAGUUGUGAGGAAGGGGGUAACGUUAAUAGCGUUAUCUCUUGACGUUAGCAACAGAAGAAGCACCGGCUAACUCCGUGCCAGCAGCCGCGGUAAUACGGAGGGUGCGAGCGUUAAUCGGAAUUACUGGGCGUAAAGCGCAUGCAGGUGGUUCAUUAAGUCAGAUGUGAAAGCCCGGGGCUCAACCUCGGAACUGCAUUUGAACUGGUGAACUAGAGUGCUGUAGA